AUUAUACGCAGAGGCGAUUUCGGUCAAAUCAUGUGUAAUCUUAGUGGCGGACGGGUGAGUAACGCGUGGGUAACCUGCCUUACACUGGGGGAUAACACUUAGAAAUAGGUGCUAAUACCGCAUAAGCGCACGAAGCCGCAUGGAUUUGUGUGAAAAACUCCGGUGGUGUAAGAUGGACCCGCGUCUGAUUAGCUUGUUGGCGGGGUAACGGCCCACCAAGGCGACGAUCAGUAGCCGGCCUGAGAGGGUGGACGGCCACAUUGGGACUGAGACACGGCCCAAACUCCUACGGGAGGCAGCAGUGGGGGAUAUUGGACAAUGGGGGGAACCCUGAUCCAGCGACGCCGCGUGAGUGAAGAAGUAUUUCGGUAUGUAAAGCUCUGUCAGCAGGGAAGAAAGAAAUGACGGUACCUGACCAAGAAGCCCCGGCUAACUACGUGCCAGCAGCCGCGGUAAUACGUAGGGGGCAAGCGUUAUCCGGAAUUACUGGGUGUAAAGGGAGCGUAGACGGUUAAGUAAGUCUGGAGUGAAAGGCCGGGGCCCAACCCCGGGACUGCUCUGGAAACUAUUUAACUUGAGUGCAGGAGAGGUAAGCGGAAUUCCUAGUGUAGCGGUGAAAUGCGUAGAUAUUAGGAGGGACACCAGUGGCGAAGGCGGCUUACUGGACUGUAACUGACGUUGAGGCUCGAAAGCGUGGGGAGCAAACAG
rnacentral:rRNA from 1 species